CCCCACAGGGUUACCGAACUCAGUUAAACUCCGAAUGCCAUCGACUCAUAUCCGGGAGUCAGACUGCGAGUGCUAAGAUCCGUAGUCAAGAGGGAAACAGCCCAGACCACCAGCUAAGGUCCCCAAGUAAUCGUUAAGUGGCAAAGGAUGUGGAGUUGCCUAGACAACCAGGAUGUUGGCUUAGAAGCAGCCACCAUUCAAAGAGUGCGUAAUAGCUCACUGGUCAAGUGACUCUGCGCCGAAAAUGUAACGGGGCUAAACGAUUCACCGAAGCUGUGGAUG
rnacentral:rRNA from 1 species